GGAUGUGAGGGCAAUCUGGGUGUGUCAUCUCUCACUCCAUUGAUCACCUGGGCUGAUAGAGCUGAUCUGGCUGACUAGGUGGGUGUCCUCUCCCUCCCUCACCACUCCAUGUGUGCCUCUUCUGAAGUUACAUGCUCCACGGAUGGAGAAUGGCCUUCCCAGAAUAGAGGAGGACCANUCUUCAGCUGAGGUCUUCAGUUCACGGAGCUAUGGUCCCCCACUAGAACCUCCAAACAAACUCAAUGCUUAUUAAUUCUAAGUUUGAUAAUUUCUAAGACUAUUUU
rnacentral:snRNA from 1 species